ACACAGAAACUAACAUCCUCCCCCUUUCUGUGAACACCACCGGGCAGUGUGCCAGUACAAUAUCAGUACAAACCCAGUUUCUGUACAUAGGUACAGUGUUGAUCCUUCGGAACAACCUUGGACAAUAAAUCAGCAGGAAUUUCAUUACCUGGCAUGUAGGACACCGUUACAAGUCCUUUCUGAACGCAUUCUCUAGCAUGUUGCAGCUUCAAUUGCAAGUGCUUCAUGCUUUGCUUACAACCUUCUGAAUUCAGCAAAGCCAAACAUGCUUUGUUGUCCUGAUAAACCUGGAUUGGACACUUUACAGGAAUUCACAUGUCUUUACACAAUUGUAACAACCAUUCACAAUCCACAAGUGAGUAAGACAGUGCAUUCAGUUCAGCUUCACAAGUACUUAAGCUAUCUGUUGUUUGCUUCUUGCACGACCAAUCAAAUAGACCCUGGCUGUACAUGUAGCAAACUCCAGACGUGCUUUUCCUGUCUGUAGUGUCACUUCCAAAACUCGCAUCAGCAAAUAUCUCAAGACCACCAGACUUCUGAUUGUUAAAUCUCAGUCUGUAGUGCAUAGUGCCUUUCAAAUAGCGUGCUAUGUGUUUCAGAGCUUUCCAAUCCUUAACAGUAGGAUUGUUGACAUGUCUGCUUAGCAAAUUAGUGCUAACUGCAAUGUCAGGUCUUGAACAUCUGGCAAUGAAGUUUAGUUUGCCUAGCACACUUCUGUACAGUGUAGGGUCAGAAAAUGCUUCUUCAGCAUCAUCUACCUGAGAACCUGUUGUCAUUGGUGUGUCUACAGGGUUAGCAUCCAUCAGGUUUAGUUUGCUUAACACAUCAGCAAUUUUCUGUGACUGGUGUACUAAAAUAUUACCAUCUUGGUCUCUCUCUAUUUCCAGAGAUAGGUAGUUGGUUACCUCACCAAUAUCUUUCAUGUCAAAGUGCUCCUUCAGUUGAGCUAGGGCGCUAUUGUACAUCUUGACAUCCUACCAAAAUAAAAGAAUAUAAUCAACAUAAAAUAAGCAAUACAGCUUCCUCUGCCCUUCCUCUUGACAAAUAAGCAUGGAUCGGCUUUACCCUGCUGAAAACCUAGAGAAAACAACACGUCAGUGAGUUUAGAGUGCCAGCAUCGUGCACUUUGCUUGAGACCAUAUAGGGACCUUUUCAAAGAACAAACAAAUCCCUGUUUUACCUGUAUGCCAUCAGGUGUACCACUCUUUCGUCUUCUUCCCAGAACACCUUGCUAUAAAGCUCUCUUUUCCUGUCACCUUAAACCCAGCUACCCUGGAAACCUUCCAAACCCCCAGUCUCUGUUCACACCUCGGGUCAAGGCGAGAGGACAGUUCUUUUGCAUUGCCAAUGGCUCUCAGUGGCCCUGUAUGGUUCCUCAAUGGCCCUAGCUUGGCCAGGUCAUUUUGCAUUAAGGCUAUCUCAGGAAUUCCUCUGCAGCUUUUAUUUCUCCCUUCUCCCAUAACCAAAAUCCUACCAUUUAUUAAUAUCUAGGAUUUACGGAGUGUCCCUCCCCCCAUAAUCUAGAACACCAGUAACACUAAUAAGUGCAACGGCAAACUAAGUAUGUAGAGUGGGCUGAGGGACCCACGGAUGACAGGGAAGAUGAGACACAAAACACAACAUCAGGGAAUGCUGCAAAGGUCAGGAGCCAGUCAGACGAAUAUGUGUGCUUUUUAUCUUGUUACAGGAAGAAUAACUGCUGGCUGCAGAGUGAAUAGGAAUCCCCACUAGCAGAAUUUCUGUUGUACAGCUAUGGCUACACAGCCUCGAACAAUUCUGCAUCCAUCAAACGAUGCUCUCAAAUGAUUCAUAUGGGGAGCAGUAAGCGUUAGGAGAGACCAUUAUGAACCCAGUGCGGAUGGAUCCUGUAUAAUGGGAGGAAGAACUCCAACAUCACUGAGAAUGCUGGCAGUGGGGAGGAGGGGGGAGACAACUACAAUUAAAAAGAAUCAAAUCAC